GACUGCAGCCUCGAGCGCUC
rnacentral:miRNA from 1 species